rnacentral:rRNA from 1 species
UACAGAGGGUGCAAGCGUUAAUCGGAUUUACUGGGCGUAAAGGGCGCGUAGGCGGAUAUAUGAGUGUGAUGUGAAAGCCCCGGGCUUAACCUGGAAACUGCCAUUGAUACUAUCAAUCUUGAAUACCUUGGAGGUGAGCGGAAUAUGUCAUGUAGCGGUGAAAUGCUUAGAUAUGACAUAGAACACCAAUUGCGAAGGCAGCUCACUACACGGUCAUUGACACUGAGGCACGAAGGCGUGGGGAUCAAACAGG